rnacentral:rRNA from 1 species
UGGAAGCUGGGGUACCGUGAAGUACGUAACCGCAAGGAGCGUCCUAGGGUAAAACUGGUAACUGGGGCU